UUACUCAUCCCUGCCUGCCUGAAAAUAUCCAGACUCUAAUUGACAUGCCCUGACUGUCACUGUGUGCUUAGUUAUAAACGAUGCUGCCUAUUACCGUCUAAUGAGAGGCUUCACUGUGCAGCACUGUACCACACCAUCUGCCUGUCAUCCAGGAGCUUGUUAUUUAAAGGUGAGCUGCGUCCGCUUCGGGGUACGAGCACAACACAAGAGCAGCAGAGGAGAGGGUAGGAGAAGUCCUCACACAGCUACAGGUGAAAUAAAGACAUCUGAGAGAGGCGGAAGGAGACCCAAUGAGACAAAAUAAGAGGGAGAAGCAGAGAGGUGAAUUUCUGAUGGUGAUGAUGAAAAGGUAGGGGUUGAGGAGGAGAGCGACCAUGCCUGUCAUAUGACUCUAAUUCAAAGUGAUGGAGCUAAAAGAGGAGGGAGGGGGAGGCUGCAUGUUGGACAGAGAUAUUCCUGAUGGAUAUUUUAAAAGCUUCCUCCUAAAUCUGUAAAACCCGUCAAAGAGCAGAAGGAGUGUUUAUAGCUGCAGGGAUACGAGCUGGAAUGUAUUUAAACUCACGGGAAUUAAAGUCACAUUUGGGAUGCUUUAGGUAGAUUAAAGUUGUGUUUCACCACACACAGAUGAGCUGAAGAGGUGAAGUCUCUAUUUUUCUGCAUUCCUCUGGAACAAAGGAGGAUGAUAGAAGGAACAAUGAGAGAUGUUCCAGCUGGCAGCAGCUCUAUGACUGUGCGGAAAGGAAACCGUUUGGGCAUCUCCAUCCAGGAGCACAUGGCCAUUGACGUUUGCCCCGGCCCCAUUCGCCCCAUUCGUCAGAUCUCUGCGUACUUCCCGCGCCUUUCGCCUACUUCCUCCUUCUCUGAGCCUCUCUCGCCCAAUCAGCUGACAGCCCCGGGUGCACUCAGCCCGGGCAGCGCAGGUCAAGGUGGUGGAGCAGUUGGAGGAGGAGGAGGAGGAGAAGCAGCGAGCAGUGGUCUUUUGUCUCCACUGUUACCAGGAGCUGCAGGCGGAGGGGGGUCACUGUCGGCCAUGAGCAGCAUGGACACCUCUAUUGAGAUUGACAGCUGUGACAGUGAUGAUAACACCUCCCUGGGGACGCUGGAGUUUGACCUCCUGUAUGAAAAAGCCACGAGCUCCUUACACUGCACCGUCCUCAGAGCAAAGGGUUUGAAGCCGAUGGAUUUCAACGGUUUGGCUGAUCCUUACGUCAAGCUGCACCUGCUUCCAGGAGCGUGCAAGGCCAAUAAACUGAAAACCAAGAUAGUUCGAAACACGCUGAACCCCGUCUGGAACGAGACACUCACCUACUGUGGGAUCACCGAGGAGGACAUGUACCGCAAAACUCUACGGGUGUCUGUGUGCGACGAAGACAAGCUGACACAUAACGAGUUCAUCGGGGAGUCGAGGGUGGCCCUGCGCCGUGUGAAGCCUGACCAGACCAAACACUUCAACAUCUGUCUGGAGCAUCCACCUCCUCUGCCUUCGCCGACGGCCAUGAGCCCGGCCCUGAGAGGAAUCUCCUGCUACCUGAGAGAGUGGGAGACCGAGCAGCAGAGAAGUCUGGAGGAGAGAGGGCGUCUGCUGCUCUGCCUCCAGUUCCUCCCUCCAAACAGCGACAGCGAUCUGAAGGGCGAGGCCAAGGAGAGAGCUCGGGGUGGGCUGUGUGUGGGCGUCAAACGCUGCGCCCACCUGGCAGCCAUGGAUGUCAACGGCUUCUCCGACCCCUACGUCAAAACGUAUCUGAAGCCAGAUGUUCAGAAGAAGUCCAAGCACAAAACAGCGGUUAUAAAGAAGACUCUGAAUCCAGAGUUUAACGAGGAGUUCUUCUAUGAAAUUUCCUUCUCAGAGUUGGCCUCCAAGACUCUAGAGGUCACUGUGUGGGACUACGACCUGGGGAGGUCCAAUGACUUCAUUGUGUCGCCCCCAAGGGUUGGCCAGGGGUGGCCAUGGUCACCCCUGGAAAAUUGCUGGCCACACUGAGGGAAGACCAGUGUUCUGCAAUAAGUCAUGCUAAUGUUCACACAAACCAUAAAUGGGGAGUGUCCCUUGGGUGCCACUCACAGGGAGAAACCCUGCAACACUGGAUAGACUGCCUGAAGAAUAAGGGCAAGAAGGUGGAGCGCUGGCAUACCCUGACCAACGAGCUGCCCGGUUCCACCCUGCAGGAAUGAACUGGUUCUCAGUGCUGAUGCUGCACAUGCUGCCAGAAAACUGGGAGAUGUUUCAUCGCAUGCUCUGAAGUUUUCCUGCAUGAUGAACUCAUUCUUACUCACCUUGUGUUAAUAAAUGGGUUCAUAGUUCAUGACAACAUCUCCAACAGGGGUCACUUACAGAGAUCAAAAAGCAGAACUUUUGAGAAUUAUUUAUACAUAUUCACUUGUUUAAGAUGCAGAUAUCUCGUGCAUCAGGAACGGACUCCUGCUCAUGGGUGUGGUGAGAUGAAAGGGAUUUAAUUAUUCUGCAUUUGGACUCCCGUACCGUCCUUCACGUCAGGACUGCUUGCUUUUUUUUAUUAAAUUCUGUCAGUUCUUUUCAUUACGUCCUGACAUUAAAACUCCACGGGUAAUGACCAUCUGUCUCACAGCGCACAUACCUCUCCUCUGCAAUAAUGUUUUCCCAGAUGCUUCCAAAGAUUUCCGGGUGGUCUCAAUAUACCGUUGGAGGGUUUAAACGUAUCGAUCUGACUGUCACCAGGCCGUCUGCGGACGACUCAGUGUGACGAGAUAAUUGGCCGGUGGUGCGCGUGAGCUGUUGGUGGGGCUGUUCUCAGCUACAGGACGGGGGUGUUUGCUCAUCACUGUGCCGUUUGGGCUUCUCUUAAUGUGCUAUGAGUUAGUUUAUCCGACCAGCUCUGUAUUUUUCACAGUUGUUUAAUGUGUAUCUGUGAGUGAAACUCCUUUUUAAAGCAGGCGAUGGCGUUGUGAUUCACAGGAAAACAUUUUCACAGCAACAGUGUUCUGUGGAGAGGUGUUGGAUGAAUUCAUCAGCCUUUGUUUAACACAAGUGUUGUCUGGUGACUCUGUGUCUGCUGCUGCCUCGUAUUUGUCACGGAUCAAGCUGCAGGCUUUAUCUCACGUGGUGACCGAGGCAUGCUGACAGUACCAGUGGUGUUUAUAUGUAAAUACAUCUGGUGUUUUAGUUACCUGGAUAUUUGUCUUCUGGACGGCAUGCACGACUACUUUUUUGUUUAUUUUCAUAAAAAAUACCUUUACAACGAGUUAUUGUGUGUAUUAUUAUAUUUAUAAUAUCCUCCCUGUUUCCAAAGUGGCCUCUGUGAAUUUCUAAUGUUUAUGCACAGCCCAUUGGCAACUCAAUAAAGCUUAUACUGCCA